UUAUAUGGUCAAGAAGAGAAGCGCAAACGGUGGAUGCCUUGGCAGUAAGAGGCGAAGAAGGACGUGGAAUCCUGCGAAAAGCUAUGGGGAGCUGGAAACGAGCGAUGAGCCAUAGAUGUCCGAAUGGGGGAACCCGGCUGCAGCGAUGCGGUCAUUUGCAUUUGAAUACAUAGGAUGCAAAGGCGAACUCGGGGAACUGAAACAUCUAAGUACCCGAAGGAAAAGAAAUCAAGAGAGAUUCUCCAAGUAGCGGCGAGCGAACGGGGAGGAGCCUGGCGUGAUUUAUUAUUGAACUGAGUAGAACAAUUUGGGAAAGUUGGCGAUAGAGGGUGAAAGCCCCGUAUACGAAGGUUUGAUGAGGAACUAGGCACGCGAACAAGUAGGCCGGGACACGUGAAAUCCUGGUUGAAGAUGGGUGGACCAUCAUCCAAGGCUAAAUACUACUUACUGACCGAUAGUGAACCAGUACCGUGAGGGAAAGGUGAAAAGAACCCCGGAGAGGGGAGUGAAAUAGAAUCUGAAACCGUUUGCGUACAAGCAGUGGGAGCAUGGUUUAGGCUGUGUGACUGCGUACCUUUUGUAUAAUGGGUCAGCGAGUUACUUUCAGUGGCGAGGUUAACUGAAUAAGGGAGCCGUAGAGAAAUCGAGUCUGAAUAGGGCGAUAGUCGCUGGGAGUAGACCCGAAACCGGGCGAUCUAGCCAUGUGCAGGAUGAAGGUUGGGUAACACCAACUGGAGGUCCGAACCGGGUAAUGUUGAAAAAUUAUCGGAUGACGUGUGGCUAGGAGUGAAAGGCUAAUCAAGCCCGGAGAUAGCUGGUUCUCCCCGAAAGCUAUUUAGGUAGCGCCUCGUGAAUGAUUACUGGGGGUAGAGCACUGUUUCGGCUAGGGGGCUGUCAUGGCUUACCAAACCGAUGCAAACUCCGAAUACCGGCUAAUUGAAUCACGGGAGACACACGGCGGGUGCUAACGUCCGUCGUGGAGAGGGAAACAACCCAGACCGCCAGCUAAGGUCCCCAAGUACUAGUUAAGUGGGAAACGAUGUGGGAAGGCAUAGACAGCCAGGAGGUUGGCUUAGAAGCAGCCACCCUUUAAAGAAAGCGUAAUAGCUCACUGGUCGAGUCGGCCUGCGCGGAAGAUGUAACGGGGCUAAAACUAGUCACCGAAGCUGCGGAUGUGCGCGAAGGCGCACGUGGUAGGGGAGCGUUCUGUAGGCUGAUGAAGGUGCAUUGAGAAGUGUGCUGGAGGUAUCAGAAGUGCGAAUGCUGACAUGAGUAACGAUAAUGUGGGUGAAAAGCCCACACGCCGGAAGUCCCAGGUUUCCUGCACGACGUUAAUCGGAGCAGGGUGAGUCGGCCCCUAAGGCGAGGC
rnacentral:rRNA from 1 species